GCGGGCAUGGCGGAAUGGCAGACGCAGCAGACUCAAAAUCUGCCGUAGGUGACUAUGUGUGGGUUCAAGUCCCACUGCCCGCA
rnacentral:tRNA from 1 species